UCCAGGGUAGCCUAGUGGACAUGGCAUCUGCCCGGUAAGCAGAACACUGUGGGUUCGAUUCCCAUUCCUGGAU
rnacentral:tRNA from 1 species